GAUGAACGCUGGCGGCGUGCCUAACACAUGCAAGUCGAACGAGAAGCUAACUUCUGAUUCCUUCGGGAUGAUGAGGUUAGCAGAAAGUGGCGAACGGGUGAGUAACGCGUGGGUAAUCUACCCUGUUAAGUGGGGGAUAACCCUCCGAAAGGAGGGCUAAUACCGCAUAAUAUCUUCUCCUCUAAAAGAGGUAAAGAUUAAAGAUGGCCUCUAUACUAUGCUAUCACUUCAGGAUGAGCCCGCGUCCUAUUAGUUAGUUGGUGGGGUAAUGGCCUACCAAGGCGACAAUGGGUAGCCGGUCUGAGAGGAUGUACGGCCACACUGGGACUGAGAUACGGCCCAGACUCCUACGGGAGGCAGCAGUGGGGAAUAUUGCGCAAUGGGGGAAACCCUGACGCAGCGACGCCGCGUGGAUGAUGAAGGCCCUCGGGUUGUAAAAUCCUGUUCUGGGGGAAGAAAGCUUAAAGGUCCAAUAAACCCUUAAGCCUGACGGUACCCCAAGAGAAAGCUCCGGCUAAUUAUGUGCCAGCAGCCGCGGUAAUACAUAAGGAGCAAGCGUUAUCCGGAAUUAUUGGGCGUAAAGAGCUCGUAGGCGGUCUUAAAAGUCAGUUGUGAAAUUAUCAGGCUCAACCUGAUAAGGUCAUCUGAAACUCUAAGACUUGAGGUUAGAAGAGGAAAGUGGAAUUCCCGGUGUAGCGGUGAAAUGCGUAGAUAUCGGGAGGAACACUAGUGGCGAAGGCGGCUUUCUGGUCUAUCUCUGACGCUGAGGAGCGAAAGCUAGGGGAGCAAACGGGAUUAGAUACCCCGGUAGUCCUAGCUGUAAACGAUGGAUACUAGGUGUGGGAGGUAUCGCCCCCAUCUGUACCGCAGCUUACUACAUUCAAGUAUCCGGCCUGGGUAGUACGGUCGCAAGUCUGAAGUCUAAGGAAUUGACGGGGGUCCGCACAAGCGGUGUAGCAUGUGGUUUAAUUCGACGCAACGCGAAGACCCUUACCAGUACUGACAUUAUCUUCACCGUAUAAGACUUUAGAUCUUCUUCCUCUCGGCGAAGA
rnacentral:rRNA from 1 species